GACGUAGGGCGCAAGCGUUGUCCGGAUUUAUUGGGCGUAAAGAGCUCGUAGGUGGUUUGUCGCGUUGUUCGUGAAAACUCACAGCUCAACUGUGGGCGUGCGGGCGAUACGGGCAGACUUGAGUACUGCAGGGGAGACUGGAAUUCCUGGUGUAGCGGUGGAAUGCGCAGAUAUCAGGAGGAACACCGGUGGCGAAGGCGGGUCUCUGGGCAGUAACUGACGCUGAGGAGCGAAAGCGUGGGGAGCGAACAGG
rnacentral:rRNA from 1 species